rnacentral:rRNA from 1 species
CAGGCUGNAACCCGCCUGCAUGAAGUCGGAAUUGCUAGUAAUCGCGGAUCAGCAUGCCGCGGUGAAUACGUUCCCGGGCCUUGUACACACCGCCCGUCACACCAUGGGAGCCGGUAAUACCCGAAGUCAGUAGUCCAACCUCGUGAGGACGCUGCCGAAGGUAGGAUUGGCGACUGGGGUGAAGUCGUAACAAGGUACC